rnacentral:lncRNA from 1 species
GCCCACGUGGCGGGGGCUGGGAGGCUGCGGGGGGCGGGCAGAGCACUGCGAAGUCCUUGCCGGCUCCAGGACCCGCCGGGUCCUCUAACGAAGUCCCGGCUUCAUGGCCGGCACAGAGAGGUAGCGUUGAGGUGUGGAGUCUUGAAGACGCUGCCCAGACUGAUGCCACCUCUGUGUCCCCAGGAUGCGUGGCGACAGCAGGAGAGGCCCCUCCCUGACCCCCAACCGCCCCCAACGCAGAAGCUCAAGGAGGCUGCGGCCUACUUGGUGAGAGGCCCAGAGGCUGCUGCAGGCCCCCAGAGAGGAGAGCAAGGUCGCAGCCAUGGACUUAGAAAUCAACCACUGCAAUAUAAAGGAAUGAAUUAAUGGUAUUUGCAGCAACCUAGAUGAGAUUGCAGACUAUUAUUCUCAGGGAAGUAACUCAGAAAUGGAAAAACCAAACAUCUUAUGU